GAUGAACGCUGACAGAAUGCUUAACACAUGCCAGUCAACUUGAACUUCGGUUUGGGCGGCGGACGGGUGAGUAACGCGUAAAGAACUUGCCUCACAGAUAGGGACAACAUUUGGAAACGAAUGCUAAUACCUGAUCUUAUGAUUAUAUGGCAUCGUAUAAUUAUGAAAGCUAUAUGCGCUGUGAGAGAGCUUUGCGUCCCAUUAGCUAGUUGGCGAGGUAACGGCUCACGAAGGCGAUGAUGGGUAGCCGGCCUGAGAGGGUGACCGGCCCCAAAGGGACACGGGCGGGACCAGUAGGGAAUAGGGGGGCAUGGGUGGAGAACAGAGGCAGACGGGCCAAGAGUGUGAUGAAGGAAUUCGGUUUGUACAAUGAAGUUUUUCGGAAUGAAAAGUGCUUUGAGUUGAGAAGAAAAAAAUGACGGUACCAACAGAAGAAGCGACGGCUAACUACGUG
rnacentral:rRNA from 1 species